rnacentral:rRNA from 1 species
AUGGCGACCGGCGCACGGGUGAGUAACACGUAUCCAACCUGCCGAUGACUCGGGGAUAGCCUUUCGAAAGAAAGAUUAAUACCCGGUGGCAUUAGUUCUUCCGCAUGGUAGAACUAUUAAAGAAUUUCGGUCAUCGAUGGGGAUGCGUUCCAUUAGCUUGUUGGCGGGGUAACGGCCCACCAAGGCAUCGAUGGAUAGGGGUUCUGAGAGGAAGGUCCCCCACAUUGGAACUGAGACACGGUCCAAACUCCUACGGAAGGCAGCAG